UCCCGUUGAUCCUGCGGGAGAUUGCUGCUAGUAGGAUUCGACUUAGCCAUGCAGGUCCAGGGGCUCCUCGGAGCACCGGCAAAAUGCUCAGUAACACGUCGCUAACCUGCCCUCGAGUCAAGGACAGCCACGGGAAACUGUGGGUAAACCUUGAUAGGGUAUACCAUCUGGAAUGCGGUAUACCUCUAACUCGUGCUCGAGGAUGGGGCGGCGGCCGAUUAGGUUGUUGGUGGGGUAACGGCCCACCAAGCCCGAGAUCGGUACGGGCCAUGAGAGUGGUAGCCCGGAGAGGGACACUGAGAUACUGGUCCCAGCCCUACGGGGUGCAGCAGGCGCGAAACCUUUACAAUGCACGAAAGUGUGAUAAGGGGAUCCUACGUGCUCAUGCAUUGCAUGGGCUUUUGCCACGUCUAAAACGCGUGGAGAAGAAGUGGUGGGUAAGACUGGUGCCAGCCGCCGCGGUAACACCAGCGCCACGAGUGGCAGUCGCGAUUAUUGGGCCUAAAGCGUCCGUAGCCGGACCGGCACAUCCUCUGUGAAAUCAUGCAGCUUAACUGCAUGGCGGGCAGUGGACACGACCGAUCUUGGGAAUGGGAGGAGCUGGAGGUAUUCGGAGGGGACCGGUAAAAUGGUAUAAUCCUCUGAGGACCACCGAUGGCGAAGGCAUCCAGCCAGAACAUGUCCGACGGUGAGGGACGAAAGCCAGGGGAGCGAACCGGAUUAGAUACCCGAGUAGUCCUGGCCGUAAACGCUGCGAGCUAGGUGUUGCGCUUCCCAUGUGGAAGUGCAGUAUCGAAGCGAAGGCGAUAAGCUCGCCGCCUGGGAAGUACGGUCGCAAGACUGAAACUUAAAGGAAUUGGCGGGGGCGCACCACAAGGGGUGCGGCGUGCGGUUUAAUCUAAUUUAACACAGAGAAUCUCACUAGAGGCGACGGCAAGAUGAUGGUCAGUCUGAAGGGCUUACCGGAUGAGCCGAGAGGUAGUGCAUGGCCGCCGCCAGCUCGUGUCGUAAGAUGUCCAGCUAAGCCUGGUAACGAGCGAGACCUGCAUCACUACUUGCUAACAGCCAAGUCAUUGGGACUGAGCACAGUAGUGAGACUGCCUUGGUAACAAGGAGGAAGGCGCAGGCUACGGUAGGUCUGUAUGCUCCGAAUCUUCUAGGCUACACGCGCGCAACAAUGGCCGGUUCAAUGGGCUGCUACUCCGUAAGGAGACGCUAAUCCUCGAAAGCCGGUCCAAGUCCAGAUCGAGGUUUGUAACUCAGCCUCGUGACGUCGGAAUCCCUAGUAACCGGAAGUUAUCAGCUUCCGGUGAAUAUGUCCCUGCGCCUUGCACACACCGCCCGUCAAACCAAUCGAGCAGGGUCUAGGUGAAGCCUGGCUAACUUGGCUAUGCUGAAUCUAGGCUCAGUUAGAUGGGUUAAGUCGUCACAAGGUA
rnacentral:rRNA from 1 species